CUCUCUCUCUCUCUCUCUCUCUCUCUCUCUCUCUCUCUCUCUCUCUCUCUCUCUCUCUCUCUCUCUCUCUCUCUCUCUCUCUCUCUCUCUCUCUCUCUCUCUCUCUCUCUCUCUCUCUCUCUCUCUCUCUGUAUACACAUGCAUGGUAACUUCUAGCGGGUUAACUAAAACAGUAUCGAAUUGAGGGUGUUUUCUUUUUACAUUAUUCAUGUUAUUGACUGUGAGUCAUAUUGUACUGGAGCAUGUUCAUCCUUUAAGAUCUGUGGCACUUAAAAGUGACUCCUGUUUUGUCUCUUGUAGUGCCAGAGGUCAUCCCUGUAUGAAGUGUUAUUGUGUGUUUUUGGAACAUAAAACUGGAAUAUCUAGUCCUUGAUCUCAAAAAUAUAGCUGGACCACAAGAGUCAAGGGAUGUUGAGGCACUCACUGACCUGCAAUGUUCAGUUCAUACACCUGGGAAAUUCUUGCCAGAGAAUUAGGGAUAAUGUGUAUAGGUUUGUGAAGUGUUGAUCUUGGCAGCUGCUGUUCACUUGGACACGACCUGUUGACUGCAGAUUUGCUGGGGACACGGGACAACCACAACUCUCAGUGUCUUCAGAAGCAUUUUGGUAUCAAUUAAGAGGAAGUUAAUCCUGCCACCUGUCCUGAAACUUGUGAAAUGACCUCUUAGUGCUGAGUUAGCAGGGAAGAGUACUUCUACACUGACGAAGUAGAGGAUGGUAAACAGAUCAUAUGGUACCGUGGUCCUUUCCUCUGAUGUUUCCAUUAUUCAAGUUUUCAAGUUUGACAGUGAUGUACAUUCAGAGACAGAAGAGUCUAUUAUUGGCUUGAUAUUGAGACUGUAGGCAUAAGCUUAACCCAAAAACAUGCUGUGUAUGAUGAUCUGAGUGGUAACAAAUAGGACUGGGGACUAAAAACCAGACAUCAAGGGUUAGAUAGUAAAUACAAGGUAACCCUCUGUGCUACAUCACCUAUUUCUGUUGUACUGUAUGAAAAAUAGGUAAGCACUAAGUGUAUGGUCUAAUGUGUGCUGAAAAGAUAUGAAGGUGUGGUAUAAUGAUAGAGACUGAUCAUUGGGAUUAUCCCCUGGCCUUCUCCCACAAACCUUGACACUCAAGACUUGAUAAUUUCACUGUUGGAGCUGAUGAGGUGAUCAUAAGACACCCAAGUGUUGACCUGAUGUUUGAUCUGACAGCAGCAACACUCUGCUAUAGAGAGUGUCAGUAAUCUCUGCAUUAUGACAAUAUGAUCUGACACCUGUACUAUGGGGGAAAGCUGCUCCACUACAUGACGGCUGUGCUCAGGGUGCUGUUUAUUCUUUGUACACUGAAAACAAUUGGAGCAGUUUAUGAAGGGCAGUUUAGUAUAAAGUAAAACUAAACUUUGGAAGCAUAAGCAGCAAUCUCCUGAACACAGCAACAGUGUUCACUGGCCCGUAUUCUCAAACACUGCUGCAUCUUAUCUUGAGAACUUUCAACAGGCUGUAGUGAAAGUUAAUGAAGUUUUCAAGGGUGUUUUCAUAACUAUUGAUUUAACAAGGAUUCUGCAUUGUGAGUGGGGGAAAAAACACCCAUGAGAACCUAGCUAAUUAUUUCUGUGGCCUUUGAAAAUAAUUGUGAUGAGAGAACAAGAUGUUAAAGAAUGCAAGCCAUAAUCUUGCCUUUUGGGUGUACGUACUGCAAAGUAUAAGUCACUGAUAGCCCGUAGCAUCAUGGUGGAAUGCCACACACGUCUGUUUCUUUAUUCAGAACCAAAAAAUAAAUUUUAGCACAAAGUUUACAGCAUGUUCUUACAAGUCACUCAUCUGACCACACUACACCAACUAAGUUUCUGUAUAGACUUUGUUCUUGGUCUUCAUGUGUUGGGCACGAACCAUCUGUUUCCUCUAAUGCCAUGUUCAAUAUUCGGGUAUUUCCAGGUCCAAAUGCAACAGCAACAGUGUGGUGAAAGUGUUAGGGUGCAUCAUAGGGUGAGCCCCAGUGGGUGUGCCAUACCAUGCCAUAGUAGGUCUGGUAGAUACUUUAGGUGGGCAGACCGGUGUGUUUGUCGUGUGUUAUGACAAUACUACUCUCUCUCUUCUCUGUUAAUAAUUAGGGAUAGUUCUCAAUAUGGCAGUUUACAAAAUGGCAAUCAAAAAUUUUCCAGCUCUUGAUCUUAAUAACAGCCUGUAUAUUAGCUAAAGAAUAUAAAGUAUAUACUUGCAGUAAGGUGAUGCUAUUUUAAAUGAUUAUAACUGGAACAGCACUCUGAGGAUACCCUGUUGUACAUCAUCAUCAUUGUAAUGUUCAGCUGUGAAAUUACUUAUUACUUUAUAUAUAUAUAUAUAUAUAUAUAUAUAUAUAUAUAUAUAUAUAUAUAUAUAUAUAUAUAUAUAUAUAUAUAUAUAUAUAUAUAUAUAUAUAUAUAUAACUAAGUAACAGGUUAAUGUAGAUCUUGAUGUCUUUACCAGUAACCUUCCUGUACCCCACAAUUAUUGCACUCAAAAAAGACACUGCUGUAUUGAUAUUAACUACGUGAUAUUUUUUGUGAUUACAUUAUCUCACAAUGCAGUUCCUAAAUGUUGAUUCUUGCCAGGUGUUUUUCGCGGCAGCAAGGAGACAAGACAUUAUUUGAUCUUUAUUUUGCUUGUACAUUGAUUUAGACCUUCCAAGUCAGUUCAGAGGAGGUCACAAGACUGCACCAUAGUGCGCAUGUGCACGCAUACACACACACACACACACACACACACACACACACACACACACACACACACACACACACACACACACACACACACACAGUCUGGGAUGAUGCUUUUAACUCUUGAUUUCCACCUCAUCUCAUUCAUGAUUUGAUUUUGUCACUGCACUGAUCUACCAGAGAUAUAAUUUGAGUCAAUUAAUGUAGUCACCUGAAUUAGUUUAAACUUGUUAGGUUUCAUAAACUGCAUGAUUUAUAAUUUCAUCAGCUCAUGUAUGCAUUGCAGGAUUGCAGCCUAAUUCCUGCUAUUUUCUAAAGAACUUUUAUGUAUAAUUUUUAGAAACUGUCUGAGAAUUGGCAUUAUUUUAAAUGAAGUUCAGGUAUAUACAGAUGACUGAUGGUUCCUCAGGUGUUUAGUGGAUGACUUGACCAUAAAAGUGCAUAGCUUAGAGAGAGAGAUAAUACAGAGGUCCUACUGAACCUAUACAAUGCUUUCAUGUUAGCGAGAAGCUUGAACUAUAGAGACUCGACUCAAAGUAUAUAAUGAACAGUCAUGCUCAGAAGUAGAUUAACUUGUUACACUCACACUUUCUUGUUUUCCCUUCAUCUUACAUCCUCUGGUCUACUUUCACUCUCUUUACAAAGCCAGAGAACUAAUGAAAUGUCAGAUCAGAAGAUAUAACUGAGGAAGAAACACUAAACAAAGUGGGACUGAGUGUGAAUGUUGUUCUUCUGCUCAUGAUUUUACCUCAAGCUGUUAGUUGGCACUACCAGUCCACUGCUUUGCCCCACAGGAAUGACUUUGGAUAGCUGUGGCAUUAGAGGGCAUUAGACAUUGGUAGAAGAUUAAACCUUUUUUUUAACAUGCAAUAAAUAUUUUCUCUAAUACAAUAGAACAUGUUUGUAGUUGUGGGCCCAGUAGGAGGUUGUUUUAGAUGGGCAGUCGAGUGUGAAUGCCAGUGCAGUCUUUGCCAGAUGUUGAGUAACAGUCUAUGCCAACCUCCACUGUGUUUAGUAUAGUUCAAUCUGGAAGUCCCCUGAUAUGCUGAGAGUGUCCUUGCUCAAGCUGACAACUGGUAGAUUCUAAUUCCUCUCAUCUGUAAAGAAUCUACCAGUUGUCAGACUCUGCAAGAUUGCCAGCAGUUGAGAGGAUAGAGGGCUGAAGGAGAAGUGCAGAACACAGUGGUGGUGAAUGUGGCAGGUUACUUGACUUCUGGUGCCAACUGUACAUAGCAGGUCAGAAGUUGUUGAUUGUGUUGAAAUCUUAAGCUAUUAAAGGUACUAGAGAUAGUGAUCUCUCCAAUAGCCAAUUCUUACAUCAGUAAGGAUUUUAUUGAAGUAUUAAUUGUUAAGUAAAAAAAAUAUAGUUGUAGAAUUAUGUAAGUGUUAUGCAUAGCUAAAGUAAUGUUUGUAUUUAAUAUUUAUGAUUUAUGCAUUAAGUUUUCAUCACUUUACUGUUGUUAUUAUUAUUAUUAUUAUUAUUAUUAUUAUUAUUAUUAUUAUUAUUAUUAUUAUUAUUAUUAUUAUCAUUAUUAUUAUUAUUAUUAUUAUUAUUGUUGUUGUUAUUACUAUUGUAAUUAUUGAUAUCAUUAUUUAACUUUUUCAAUAAAAAUGCAACCCUGCACUCUACAAGUAUAGGUCUCAUGAUAAAGGUUGUGUGAUUCUAUCAAAAUUAUCACUGAAAAUGCUGCUUAUGCUCAUGUAAUAGUCAGGGUAAAAAAUUAAGACCCAUAACCUCAAGCACUGAUCUAACUGUACUGUCUGGGGUCUGGCCUUUGAAUCUCACAGACUUAACAUUUAUCAUAUAGAUCAGUCCUUUUCAAACUAAAGGUCAUGAUUCCCAGGGGUUUUAGUGUCAUCCAGGAAUCAAUUACUAAUCCACUCACUUCACUUGUGUUUUAUGCUGUCCUUUGAUAUUUAGUCCUCUUAUCUUGUCACAGUAUCUCCUAUAAUCCAGCAAUUGAUAGACAUCAAGCAGAUCAGAGGACUUAAGAUUGAGGAAAACACCAAACACUGUGGAAAUGAGUGUAGUGUAUCACUCAGUUAUCAGCCACUACAGUAAUAUGACAUGGAGGCAACCCAAAAGGACAGCAAGCCAUGGACAACACUCAAGACAUGUCCUGUUUGUUUUAUUAAGAUUGAUUCGCCACACCUCUUGGUCAGCAGAGGCUGAGUAAAUGUGGUCUCUUUGUUUAGCUCAGUGUAUCAUUCUCUGUUCUAAGUAUUGCCUUGCAUUGCCAGGGCGGUCGUUGCACAUUGGGUUACGUAUCAUUGGUUUCAACAUAUCACAUAGUAGUUUAAGAUGGCCCCCUAAGGAAGUGUGCUUCAUCUAUUGUUAUAUGAGUAUAUACAGUUAUUUUUCUUGGGGAUAUUGCUUUGUUUUAUAUAUAUAUAUAUAUAUAUAUAUAUAUAUAUAUAUAUAUAUAUAUAUAUAUAUAUAUAUAUAUAUAUAUAUAUAUAUAUAUAUAUAUAUAUUUAUUUAUUUAUUUAUUUAUUUAUUUAUGUGUCUAUGGUUGCCAUUUUUGCACCUAAAGCAAACUGAAGUAGAAAUCAAAACCAAUGAGAAUUCUCAAAUAUUCCUACAUAGGCUGACUGGUUCUGCAUCCACUCAAAAACUUAUUCAUUAUAUUCUUCACAGUACUUUGAUAUCCCUUUGUACAUAUGUAGAUACUACUUGACCUGCUCCUAGAACAUUCACUCACAUUCACCUUCAGCAGGAUGUAACUUCUCUCUGUCUGUACAAUAGUGGUGAUUUACUGAAGACAAGUGUUGCUCAAGACAAGGAAAGUAAAUUAACACUUCUGUUCUGUGCCUUUGUCUACCUCCAGCAGUGUAAUCUGACCUCCACACUGUCAACUCCUUUACCUCCCACUGUCUUUACCUUGUCAUUUUUAUUAUUUUUCACUAUUCACUUUCUUCUCCCAACAUUGUGCCAUAUGGCCCUAGUUGCUUGAUGCAUAUUCACUCUCUCUCAGACCAAAGCUGAGUACUGUUUAAUAUAUCAGUAUCACCAACACAUCCAAAUAAUGAAAAACUGCAGGUGGUGGAGUUUGUGGUGGUGAUGAGGUAACUGUUGAAACAAGCAGAGGAACAGUAGGAAGGCAGUAAUCUAUUCUCCCAUGCUGUAGGGGUAACUGUUAAAACAAGCAUAGGAACAUUAGGGAGGCAGUAAUCUAUUUUUCCCUGCUGUGGGCCCCAAUCACUUGUUACAGUAAGACUCCACUCUUAUAUUGUACAGAUGAGGCAGAGUGAUGAGGGCCAGGGAUGGUUCAGUCACUUAGCAAUGUUGUGCAUCCCUUUGUUUUGGUGGGAAGUGAGCUGUCAACCGAUCAUGAGAGUAUCUUUAUAUCCACCAUACAGUUGUGGGAGGAGAAAUGAACCAGCAGCCAGUGGACCUAGCAAGUGACAUCAUUAUUCAGUUUGAACACACCCUGCUAGCUAGUCUGUGUUAGUGAGACAAUGCUACCAUGUUACCUUCCUCAUGUCAGACCCACGCAGCUCCCCGGCCUAGAGGCUACUCUGUGUAGAAGUGCCAUCACCUGCCCCUCCCCCCCUCUCCCCCUUCCCAUGUCUUAGGUUUGCCACCCUAGGAACAUAAGUUAGCCCUCAGGAAGUUAUUAGUUCAAGGGAAUAUUACAUUUCUGUCCCAAUGCAUCAUGUUUCCUCAUUUUGUUCUCUCGAGUGUACUGCUGUACCCAAGCCCUCCACAGUUCAUAUUUCAUACAUUUCCAAAACAUCUACUUGUUGCACUUUCAGAUGGGUUUCUGUGAAUAUUGUUUUCUUUGUGGAAGUAGUACGUCAAAAUUUAGUAGAAGCAUAGCAGGUGAUUCUACAUAACUGUGAAAUACAAGUUGUUCAAAGUAA